GACGAACGCUGGCGGCGUGCUUAACACAUGCAAGUCGAACGGAAAGGCCCUGCGUUUGCGGGGUGCUCGAGUGGCGAACGGGUGAGUAAAACGCGAGUAACCUGCCCUUGACUUUGGGAUAACUUCAGGAAACUGGGGCUAAUACCGGAUAGGAGCUCCUGCUGCACGGUGGGGGUUGGAAAGUGUCGGCGGUGGGGGAUGGACUCGCGGCUUAUCAGCUUGUUGGUGGGGUAGUGGCUUACCAAGGCUUUGACGGGUAGCCGGCCUGAGAGGGUGACCGGCCACAUUGGGCCUGAGGUACGGCCCAGACUCCUACGGGAGGCAGCAGUGGGGAGUCUUGCACAGUGGGCGGAAGCCUGAUGCAGCAACGCCGCGUGCGUGAUGACGGCCUUCGGGUUGUAAACCGCUUUCGCCUGUGACGAAGCGUGAGUGACGGUAAUGGGUAAAGAAGCACCGGCUAACUACGUG
rnacentral:rRNA from 1 species